GAGCACGUAGGUGGGUUUGUAAGUCAGAUGUGAAAGCCUUCUGUUCAACGGAAGAAUUGCAUCUGAAACUACAAACCUUGAGUGUAGGAGGGGAGAAUGGAACUUCUGGUGGAGCGGUGAAAUGCGUAGAUAUCAGAAGGAACGCCGGCGGCAAAAGCGAUUCUCUGGCCUAUAACUGACACUCAGUGUGCGAAAGCUAGGGGAGCAAACGGGAUUAGAUACCCCGGUAGUCCUAGCCGUAAACGAUGGGCACUAAGUAGAGGGGU
rnacentral:rRNA from 1 species